rnacentral:rRNA from 1 species
GACGAACGCUGGCGGCGUGCUUAACACAUGCAAGUCGAGCGGUAAGGCCCCUUCGGGGGUACACGAGCGGCGAACGGGUGAGUAACACGUGAGCAAUCUGCCCAUCACAUCGGGAUAACUCCGGCAAACCGAAGCUAAUACCGAAUACGACCACCUCCGGCAUCGGAAGGUGGUGGAAAGUUCCGGCGGUGAUGGAUGAGCUCGCGGCCUAUCAGCUGGUUGGUGGGGUAACGGCCCACCAAGGCUUCGACGGGUAGCCGGCCGGAGAGGGUGACCGGACACACUGGGACUGAGACACGGCCCAGACUCCUACGGGAGGCAGCAGUGGGGAGUAUUAGACAAUGGGCGAAAGCCUGAUUCAGCAACGCCGCGUGGGGGAUGACGGCCUUCGGGUUGUAAACCUCUUGCAGCAGGGACGAAGCGCAAGUGACGGUACCUGCAGAAGAAGCACCGGCCAACUACGUGCCAGCCGCCGCCGUAAAAC